rnacentral:lncRNA from 10 species
AGCCUCGCUGCCGCCUUGCAGUGUGAUCUCAGACUGCUGUGCUAGCAAUCAGCGAGACACCGUGGGCGUAGGACCCUCUGAGCCAGGUGUGGGAUAUAAUCUUGUGGUGCGCCGUUUUUAAAGCCGGUCUGAAAAGCGCAAUAUUCGGGUGGGAGUGACCCGAUUUUCCAGGAGUUUCCAGGAUAAAAUCUUGGAGGUCCAAACCCAAGCA